GUCCCUUCCCUUUAUUUAUCUUUAAAUUACAGGGUAGCAGCAACAAAAAGCAAGGGCUGGCAGCCCGCCCCGAGGCAGUCUCAUCGACUAAUGAUAGCCCUGCUGCCUCUUUGGCUGCCUCUUGGUGGAAUCCUCCAUUUCUGUGGCCCUGAGAAUACCCUCUAACCCCAAGAACUAAGAAAGAGAGAGAAGCAUGGGCCAAAAGGUGGAUCAGGCCAGGGGCUACACAGGUGAUCUCCAAAAAAUAUCCUCCAAGGCAUAGAUCAUCCUCCAAAUGACGUUUUCUCAACCUUUCCGGCGGCCGCCUUCCCGCUGAGUGGCUUCGAUGGACUGGACCCUGGUACGUGUGACCCGAGAGUGCACUCCCGCCUCUUGUGUGCCUCUCUUCUGCUGAUCUUCUGCUGUUCCCGUGGCUUGUGUCAAUGGCCGCACCAGCGGACACAAGGGGCAGUCAGUCGAGAGGCGCACAUACAUACAUGGGCUGCGGUGGGUUUAUGGCAGACGGGGGGACGGGAUUGAAGGCUCAAAAUCCUGGGAGCCACCGUCGUCGCGCAAUUGAAAUGAAAAUAUUCGCAAAUUGGCUGUGCCGUCCCCCACACAUCCUCUCGCCGCUGCUCCCAAUGGCCCUUCGUUCCUCACAAAUCCGUUCUCUUUAUUCUCCCCUCUCUCACUCUUUCUCUGCAUCUAUGUGCUCUUCAUUCUUCCCCCUACCAUUCCUUUACUUCUUCGUUGUAUUUGUGAGGCCACGCAAAUCGUCAGGCAGGCAGGCCACAGGCAAAAGGCUAAGUUAUACGGUAGCAGAGGGGAUAUUUGUUGGUUGCGAUCUUUAGUGAGCAAGAGUGCCACUUUUUUGUUGCGCUCGAAGAUAUUUGUUCAGGAUAAAUGGUUAAAGAUCGUCAUUUGAUUGCAUAUUUCGAUAGUUGUAUCAUAUUUUUCUUUAUGAGAUAUUUAAUCACUUUCCCAUUCUAAAAAGCAUACUCUCUCAGGAUUUUCCAGGGUAUUAAACUUGCUGCAACUCUUUUAGUCCCAUAUCCGAUCCCAUGGAUCGUCUGCUUAUCGGUUGUUGUGACUCCACAAGCUUCUUCACCUCCGUACUGGUCACUCCUUCUCUGCCCCCUCCUCCUACUGCUGCCAAUGCUCUUUCUGCCCCCUCUCCUCUUCCUUCUGAUCUUCAUCCUGUUCUUACCCCUCCACCUCCUGGCUCCCACCGCAGCAGCAGCAGCAGCAUUUGUGUUGUUCUGUGAAUGUUUUCAUUUCCAGGCGACCAUGUCGAUUUAUUUGAAUUUAAUCUCUGCCUUUAACAUGUUUCGGCGGGGCUCCAGUUGGUGCUGGUCUGCUGCUGGUGCUUGUGGAGCCUGCCCCAAGCGAAGAAGGAGGAGGCAGAGUAGCUGCAGUCAGAGAUGGAGCCAUGGCUUUGGGUUUUGCUGUUUUGGUAGCUGUUUGCAUUUGGAUUUAGUUCUUCUGUUGCUGGUUGCUGCUGCUGCUGCUGCUGCUCCUAGUGCUGCUUCUCUUUUUGUGGCAUUCCUCAAGUUUAUUAUAUGAGAGCCUAGGACAUCGACAUUCACAUUCGAUCGACACUUGUGGCGGGGGCCAGUGGGAGGAGCUGAACGCAGAGAGGGAGCUCCAACUGCUGAGGGGAGAAGGCAGGAGGAUUGAAGCAGUGUUCCACUGCUGUGGCUCCUCCACUGAGAAAAAAAGAGCAGGUCAAGCCGCCUGUAGGCCUUUUUGCUGUCUGUCGAGGCCCCACUUUUCACAGCUCUGCUGGGGAGUAGCUCUAGUAGCAGGCGGGGAUUAGGUCUAUUCCUGUGCUGUUCCCUCUUUCUCUUGUUUUUGCUCCUUCUUCUCUUUCGUUUUGCCCAUAGCUCGACGACCGCUAAGGAAUUUGAUUUAUUUUAUUUGGCGUUAAAAACAC
rnacentral:lncRNA from 1 species